rnacentral:rRNA from 1 species
UUUGCGGAGAGUUUGAUCCUGGCUCAGGAUGAACGCUGGCGGCGUGCCUAAUACAUGCAAGUCGAACGAGGUGCUUUUGUAGCAAUACGAGAGUAUCCUAGUGGCGAACGGGUGAGUAACGCGUUGGUGACCUACCCCAAAGUGUGGGAUAACAGUCCGAAAGGAUUGCUAAUACCGCAUGUGGUCUUCGGAUUUAGAAACUGAUGACUAAAGGAGCAAUUCGCUUUGGGAGGGACCUGCGUCCCAUCAGCUAGUUGGUGAGGUAAUGGCUCACCAAGGCUACG